rnacentral:lncRNA from 1 species
AUCCCUAUUUCCGGCUUGCCAUGGCAGCGCUCGGGGUUUAACGGAAGUAAGCAAUGGAAAGUAUGGUGGUGCCUCGGGUCCAAAGAGAAUGCGCCGCUGAGUUGCGCGGCACCUGACGGGAUUGAGCCUCAGACACAAGCGCUCCAAAUCUCCGACUGUAGCUGGUGGGAAGCGCCUGCUGUUGCUGCAGCGUCUCAACAUGUUGUUCCCAUUUUCGUUGGGUGCUGUAGCGAUCUUUCAAGACUCUAGUCAAAAUGAGCAGAACAUUUUGCAGUUAAUCAUAGAGUUGAAGAUGAACGAGAAGAUGAACGAGAGCUACUUGAUUGUGAACUAGUAACGACCACUUGGAGUCGCAGUGUGUCUGUAAAAUGAUGAUGACAGUGACAUCAUAGAGGACAUAGUGCAAGUGAACAGUUUGAUACUGAGCUUGGAGCCUCAGUAGUUCUGGAUAAGUGAGAGCUGUACGGGAGGUUGUAACCAUGAGCUACCCUGGUUGGCAGUUGACAUCCGAGGACCAGCACUGGUCAUCGCACAGAAAGAAAACUUUACACCUUGAGAUCCCUCCAUUCUUCUUAAACUUCCAAGUGUAUGUUUGAUGGGAGAAGAGGGGAAGGGAUCAACAUUUAAAGGCUCUGGAAGGAGUCAGAUAACUGUUUUUGGCUUCAAAUGUAGAAUGAAUCCCUAGAUUUUCCUCUACUGAGAGAAUGAAAUCUUAACCCAUUCCGUUCCCUUGUUGGUACUCAGAAACGGAUACCCCAAAGAUGCAUUUUGACAUGCUGAAAGGCCUUAGAAGCUGCCUUAGAAGAUCUGUCUAACCUUGUCUUGUUGGUGUGUGGAAGUGGGAAUGCCCACAGGUGCACAGGGAGGGAGUUUCUGAAAUUAUCUGACCGAGAAAGCAAAAAAAAAAAAUCAAUUGUCUUAAACCCGGUUUCUAGGGAUCUCAUUAAAGAACUAGGAAAAAUUAACCACCUGUUAACAGAAAAACCAAACUGAAAUGUUUUAAAGAGAUUUAUUUUGAGCCAAUAUGAGUGACCAUGGCCUGGGGAACACAGGCUCAAGAGGUCCUGAGAAAGUGUGCCUGAGACAGUAGAAUUACAGUUUGGUUUUGUACAUUUUAGGUGGACAGGAGUUACAGACAAAGACAUAAAUCAGUACAUGGAAGGUACAGAUUGUGUUCAGCUGGGUGCAGUGGCUCACGCCUGUAAUCCCAGCACUUUGGGAGGUCGAGGUGGGCGAAUCGCUUGAGGUCAGGAGUUCGAGACCAGCCUGGCUAACAUGGUGAAACCGUGUCUCUACAAAAAAUACAAAAAAUUAGCCAGGGAUGGUGGCAGGCACCUGUAGUCCUGGAGCUACUCAGGAGGUUGAGGCACGAGAAUUGCUGCGGAGGUUGUAGUGAGCCGAGACCACACCACUGCACUCCAGCCUGGGUGACAGAGCAUGACUCUGUCUCAAAAAAAAAAAAAAAAUUCUACGGUAUUUUUAUAAUACAUUUUGUAGUACCACUUAUAACCACUUGGGUGCGUGGGUUGCCCAUUAAAUCAAACAGUUUACAGUUCACCCUUGAACAACAUGGAUUUAAACUGUACUGGUCCACUUAUACUCAGAUUUUCUUCUGCCGCUGUCACUCUGAGACAGCAAGACCAACCCCCCUUCCUCUCCUCAGCCUACUCAAUGUGAAAAGGACAAGGAUGAAGGCCUUUAUGAUGAUCCACUUCCACUUAAUGAAUAGUAUAUUUUAUCUUCCUUACGAUUUCCUUAAUAACAGUUUCUUCUCUCUACUUUACUAUUGCAAGAAUACAGUAUAUAAUGCAUAUAACAUACAAAAUAUGUGUUCAUCUAUGUCAUCAGUAAGACUUCAGAUCGACAGUAGGCUAUUAAUAGUUAAGUUUUGGGGGAGUCAAAAGUUAUAUGUGGAUUUUCUACUGCAUUGUUUAAGGGUCAACUGUAGAUUCAACGACUACCUAGGAUUGUAGAGUUGACUGAUAGCACUGGGACUGAUGAUAACAUCAUAACCUGUAAGAAGUGUCAACAAUGGUGAUGGACCCCCAGCAACCCUGGAGUGGGGAUGUCUAAAGAUAGAUGUCAUCCACCAGGCAGGAGUUGGUGCUGCCAGUGUGUCAUGUACUGCAGCCUCUUUUAUUUAUUUAUUUAUUUUUAUUUAUUUUUUGAGACAGCAUCUCGCUUUGUCACCCAGGCUGGAAUGCAGUGGCACAAUCUCGGCUUACUGCAACCUCCACCUCCCGGGUUCAAGCGAUUCUUCUGCCUCAGCCUCCCAAAUAGCUGGGACUACAGGUGCGCACCACCACGCCAGGCUAAUUUUUGUAUUUUUAGUAGAGACGGGGUUCCAUCAUAUUGGCCAGGCUGGUCUCAAAGUCCUGACCUCGUGAUCCGCCCAUGUCGGCCUCCCAAAGUGCUGAGAUUACAGGUAUGAGCCACAGCGCCUGGCCUGCAGUCCCUUUUACUACAACAAAUAUGGGAAAGAGUCACAGGUGUGGCAUACGGUGGUGGCUUCUGCGUUAGAAACAUAGGCCAAGUACAGUGGCUCAUGCCUAUAAAUCUCAGCACUUUGGGAAACUGAGGUGGCCAGACUGCUUGAGCCCAGGAGUUUGAGAUCAGCCUGGGCAACAUGGCGAAAUUCUGUCUCUACAAAAAGUACAAAAGUUACCCGGGUGUGGUGAUGUCAUAGGUAGUAGAUUUAUCCUUCAAACAUCAACAACUAAAAAAUCUGGACAAAAUAGGAGACAACAGAGUUCAGACAUUGGAAACAAGCAUUGUAGCACAGUGGUCCCCAAGAGAAAGGAGACAAAUGAAGUGACCUUAGUGGCCCGGCUUAUGUCUGGAGAGUUAGUUUCUAGGCUACAUAGCCCAGGGGUGUCCCUGAGUUGGGACAAAGUUGAGAAUUUGGAGAGGCCAAGGCAGCUAGUUUGUAAGGCAGGGUACCAGAGAGUAGCGCAGCACAGACCUGCAAAGGGUUUCCUGCACGUGUAGCGCACAGCAUGCCUGUGAACACACUCCUGGAAACCAAGGGAACUACCAGGAAGGUGCAGGCAGAGCAAUCCCCGGAGCCAUAGUGGAGACCAUCACUGUGCACUGGCUAAACUACUCAAAGAUACUGCCUGUCUAGUGAGGCAAAAUUAGCCCUAAUGGCCGCUCUGGUCUCACCUAAGUAAGCUCAGAAACACUGAAGCAAGCUCUCAGUUCGAAGGAAAAUGGAAAUCUGGCAUAUGAAAUCAAGAUCUCCAGAUACAGUAAAUAUAACUCUUAUGACAAAAUAGCACAAAGGCCAAGAGACAGGAAAGUGUGUGCUGUUGCUAAGUUGUUCUACUACCUGUGAAGUGGUAGAAUAUUACAUAAAAGUGUGACAAGUCUAAAGAUGUACACUAGAAAUUUUAAGAGAAACAACAAAAAAUGAAAAUGGAGGUAGGGUUAAUAAGCCAACAAAGGAGAUAAAAAUGAAAUAAUACAAAAUAAAUUAGCCCCGCACAAGUAUGGCCAUCUGAUUUAAACCCUGUCACUCCAGCUGGAGUGCAGUGGCGUGAUCACGGCUCACUGCAGCCUCGACUCCCAGGCUUAGACGAUACUCCCACCUCAGCCUCCUGGGGAGCUGGGACUACAGGUGCACACCACCAUGCCUGGCUAAUUUUUUUAGUAGAGAUGGGGUCUGGCUGUGUUGCCCAGGCUGGUCUCAAACUCCUGGGCUCAAGCAAUCAUCCCACUUCAGCUUCUCAAAGUGCAGGGAUUACAGGCGUGAGCCAGUGCACCCGGCCUAUGGCCAUCUGAUUUUUGACAGAAGUGCAGAAGUAAUUCAAUAGAGAAAGGAUCGUUUUCAAGUAACAGUCCUGGAGCAAUUGGAUAUCUAUUGGCAAAAAAAAAAAAAAAAAAAAAAAAAAAAAUCUUGAUCUAAACCUUACACUUUGUACAAAAAUGAACUCUUAAGUGGAAAAUGGAUCAUAGAUUUAAAUAUAAAGCAUAAAACUAUAAAACCUUUAGAAAAUAACAUAUGAGAAAAUCUUUGGGCUAGGUGAAGAGUUCUUAGACACAACACCAAAAACCUGUCAAUUGGGCUUCAUCAAAAUUUAAAUUUGUUUCUCUGCAAAAUACCUGUGAAGAGGAUGAAAAGACAAACUAUGAACUGGGAGAAAAUAUUUGCAAAGCACUUGUAUGACAAAGGCUUUAUAUCUGGAAUAUAUAAUGAAGUCUUGAAAUUCAACAGUAAGAAGACAAACAAUCCAAUUAAAAAAUGAACAGCAGACAUUUCACUGAAGAUACACAGAUGGCAAAUAAACACAUGAAGAGAUGUUCAACAUUUUCAGCCAUUAGAGAAAUGCAAAUUAAAGCCACAAUGAGAUAUCACUACACAUCUAUCAGAAUGGCUAAAAUAAGAAAUAGUGGGCUGGUCCAAGUGCAAUGGUGUUGCAACAAAUUGAUCACAACCACUUACAGAUUUAUUUGUUCUUUUUCCACUCCCACUGCUUCACUUGACUAGCCUUAAAAAAAAAGUGACAUCACCAAAUGCUGGUUGGUCAGAAUGCCAAGAAAUGAAUCACUUAUACAUUGCUGGUAGGAAUGUAAAAUGGCACAGCCACUCUGAAAAGUUUGGCAGUUUAUUAAAUGAAAUAUGCAACUACCAUAUGACCCAGCAAUCCCAGUCUUGAACACUUGUCCCAGGGAAAUGAAACUUAUGUUUACACAAUAACCUGUAUAGUAGUCCUCCUUAUCUACAAUUUUGCUUUCCUUUUUUUUUUUUUUUUUUUUUUUUUUUUUUUUGAGACUCUAGUCUUGCUCUGUUGCCCAGGUUGCUGUGCAGUGGCGUGAUCUUGGCUCACUGCAACCUCUGCCUCCUGGGUUCAAGUGAUUCUCCUGUCUCAGCCUCCUGAGUAGCUGGGAUUACAGGCGUGUGCCAUCACACCCAGCUAAUUUUUGUAUUUUUAAUAGAGACGGGGUUUCCCCAUGAUGGCCAGGCUGGUCUCAAACUCCUGACCUCAAGUGAUCUGCACACCUCAGCCUGCCAAAGUCCUGGGAUUACAGGUGUGCACCACCGCACCCAGCCAGUUUUGCUUUAUGCAGUUUCAGUUACCCACAGUCUGAAAAUAUGUGAGAACAGUACAUUUUGAGGCCACAUUCAUUUAAUUACAGUAUAAUUGUUCUAUUUAUUGCUGUCAGUUUCUUGCAGUGCUUAAUUAAACAUCAAAGGUAUGUAUGUAUAGAAAAAAUAUAUAGAGGACAUAUAGUACAUAUAGCACAUAUGGAUAGUGUAUAUACUAUCCAUGGUUUCAGACACUCACUGGGAGUCUUGGGAUAUAAUCUUCAAAGAUAAAGGGGGACUAUUAUACCUGAUUGUUCAGAUCAGCUUUAUUGUUAAUGCCCCCAAACUGGAAACAACCAAAAUGUUCAAGGUGAAUGGUUAAACUAUAAAUAUAUAUGCUAUGUACAUAGUAUAUUCAUACUAUGGAGUACUGUGUAGCAAUAAAAAGGAAUUAACUAUUGAUACAUGCAACUACCUGGAUGUAUCUCAAGGGAAUGGAGUGAAAAGGCCAUUCUCAAAGGUUAUACUUCGUGAUCCUAUUUACGUAAGAUUCUUGAAAUAAGAAAAUUAUGAAGAACAGAUUAGUGGUUUCCAGGGGUUAGAAAUGGGGGACAGAGGUAGAGAUGGCUAUAAAAGGAUAGUAUGGCAGAGCUCUGUGAUGACGGAACAGCUCUGUAUCUUGCUUAUGUUGCUGUUUUCAUCCAUCUACACAGGUGAUAAAAUGAAAUAGAACUAUAUAUCACAUGCAACACAAAUGAGUGCAUGUAAAAUGGGUGAAAUUUGAAUAAGCUCUGUGGACUGUUCCAAUGCCAAUUUCUUAGUGGUGAAUCUACAGUUAAAAAGCUAAAAAACAUUUUUUUUGGGAAUGUUUUUAGUGCUGCUAAAAAUAGAAGUGGAGCGAUGACAAUAGACCUCAGCUGUGGGAUCAUUCAGUAGCCAGAACCUGGAAUAGUGUGUGAAAGUGUGUGGUUGGGAUUCUUAACAGCAGGGGGAAACGUCAGUCAGUAGAAUCGACUUUUUCCUUCUUCUUCUCAACCAGCUUCCUGAAGCAAAGCCUAUCUUUUCUAUUAAAUUGGUUUUUUCUUAUGCCUCCCCGCUUUUUUUUUUUUUUUUUUUUUGAGACAGGGUCUCAUUCUGUCGCCCAGGCUGGAGUGUGGUGGCACAAUCUUGGCUCACUGCCUGGACCUUCCAGGCUCAGGAGAUUCUCCCACCUCAGCCUCCUGAGUAGCUGGAACUACAGGCAUGUGCCACCACACCAGGCUAAUUUUUUUUGUAGAGCUGGGGUUUCCCCAUGUUGCCCAGAUUGGACUUGAAUUCCUGGGUUCAAGCAAUCUGCUGAGCCAAAGUGUUGGGAUUAUGGGUGUGAGCCACCACACCCAGCCUUUUUUAAUUUAUAAAAUAGAGACAGGGUCCUGCUCUGUCACCCAGGCUGGAGUGCAGUGGCACAAUCUUGGCUCACUGCAGCCUCGACCUCUUGGGUUCAAGCAAUCCUCCCACCUCAGCCUCCCAAGUAGCUGGGACUACAGGGGUGUGCCACUAUGCUUGGCUAAUUUUUUUUGUCGUUGUUGCUUUUUUUGUAGAGAUGAAGUCUCGCCCAGGCUAGUCUAGAACUCCCAGGCACAAGUGAUUGCUCCUGCCUAGGCCUCCUAAAAUGUUGGGAUUAGUGGCGUGAGCCACUGCGCCCAUCCUGCUAAGCCUAUCUUGAAAUGAUAGAUUUUUCUGUCUGUUCCUAUCUGCCUUAUAAUUAGUGACAGACCAUCUGAACCAAACUCAGGAAAGAAUUACCUUAGGAAAGCUUUCAUCAUCAAAAAACAUCUUAUAAUUGCAGAAGUAUAUACAAGAUGAUCUAUUAUCAACAGUUUAUAAUGGCCAAAGAUAAGUCACCAGAAUAUUUGCAGAAAAAAGUUAUAAUGGCCAAAGAAUGGAACAACUUAAAUACACAGGGGAUGGUAAAUCCAUACAAUAAAAUACUGUACACAAGAAAGAAA